GCCUGGCUAGCUCAGUCGGUAGAGCUUGUGACUCUUGAUCUCAGGGUGCUGAGUUCAGGCCCCAUGUUGGGCA
rnacentral:tRNA from 1 species